rnacentral:rRNA from 1 species
GAUGAACGCUGGCGGCGUGCUUAACACAUGCAAGUCGAACGAUGAAGCCCAGCUUGCUGGGUGGAUUAGUGGCGAACGGGUGAGUAACACGUGAGUAACCUGCCCUUAACUCUGGGAUAAGCCUGGGAAACUGGGUCUAAUACCGGAUAGGAGCGUCCACCGCAUGGUGGGUGUUGGAAAGAUUUAUCGGUUUUGGAUGGACUCGCGGCCUAUCAGCUUGUUGGUGGGGUAAUGGCUCACCAAGGCGACGACGGGUAGCCGGCCGGAGAGGGUGACCGGCCACACUGGGACUGAGACACGGCCCAGACUCCUACGGGAGGCAGCAGUGGGGAAUAUUGCACAAUGGGCGCAAGCCUGAUGCAGCGACGCCGCGUGAGGGAUGACGGCCUUCGGGUUGUAAACCUCUUUCAGUAGGGAAGAAGCGAAAGUGACGGUACCUGCAGAAGAAGCACCGGCUAACUACGUG